CUAUUUGUGGCAUGUAUUUGUGGUGUUGGAGGAACUUUGACAGCAAUUGAUAAUCUUGGUCAGAUAGGAACAUCACUAAGAUAUCCAAAGAAAAGCAUAAGCACUUUUGUGUCUUUAGUAAGCAUUUGGAAUUAUCUAGGACGUGUUUUCUCAGGAUUUGUUUCUGAACAUUUUCUAACAAAGUACAGAUUUCCUCGUCCUCUUAUGCUUACUUUAACACUCUUUGUCUCAUGUGUUGGACACCUUCUGAUAGCAUUUGAUGUGCCAGAGGGUCUCUACGUAGCUUCAGUGAUUAUUGGAUUUUGUUUUGGUGCUCAAUGGCCAUUACUUUUUGCCAUUAUAUCAGAACUUUUUGGACUUAAAUAUUAUGCAACUUUGUAUAAUUUUGGAAGUGUAGCAAGUCCCCUUGGAUUAUAUGUGCUUAAUGUGAAGAUCGCUGGUCAUUUGUAUGACAAAGAAGCAAAGAAGCAAUUGGAAGCACUUGGAAAGCAAAGAAUAGAAGGGCAGGAAUUGAAUUGUGUUGGUGUUGAUUGUUACAAGUUAUCUUUCAUUAUUAUCACAGCUGCAACAUUUUUUGGUGCUGUUGUUUCACUUAUUUUGGUGGCUAGGACCAGAAAGUUUUACAAAGGUGACAUAUACAAGAGAUAUAGGGAAGAAGCUGAAAUGGUGGAGGUAAAGAACGUAGAAAAGACAGAGGAAGAUGACAAAGUUGGUCAACAGCAGCAUGUUGCGACAACUUGGAAUUAGGACAAAUGGUUAAGGACGAUAUUAUAGAUCAUAGAUCAUAUAAGUGUAAACAUGAAAUUUAAAAUUUGUCAUACAUAUUAUAAAGUAUAAUUGUAGCUUUAUGUGUGUUUGUUUUUCUUUGUAGUGAUGUAUACUUGUCAUUUUCUUUUGUCACACAUUCAAAGAAAAGAAACUUGAUUGCAUUGUUAUACAAUAAUUUAAUGCAAUAUGUCCGGUUAGCAUGAUUGUGUAGGAUUGAGACCUCGAAGUAUGCUUAAUUCAAAGUCUGAGAUUUGAUUCCCUCGUGUGUUAACAAUUAUUCUGUUGGAUCAGUCCAUACAGAGUUGUGCAGCUCUUACUUCAAUCGGGAUGAUCUCGCUAAAGGAUGGUGAAAUUGGUUCGUUGGAUUAAUGGGUGCUUAGCCGGACACUGAAUUUUUUUUUCUUAAAAAAAAAAAAAACUAUAGUUUAAUGCAGAUUUGCUCCUUUACUUACAUGCACGUUGAUGGUUUGAGGCUGUGUGUUCCAAACAUGUUUGAACGAAUCCAUGUUAACUAAUGUAUUGGUGCUGUCAGUAAACCAAGACCUCUGUGGAAUCGAGAUCAUUUCCAAUAUUUCAACUCCGAAGUUAUGACUUAUUUAGGUUAGAACGAUGAAUCUGUUCAUUUUUAAAUUUUAAUAGGCAACAUGAUUAGAUUAAAAUUUGGAUUCAACCAAAAGGGACAAAAAUUAAACUUUUUAACUUUAUUAAAUUAAACCAAAUUAAUUCUUAAACCCUAAUAUCAAUCAUGUUAAUUAUCAAAACUAGUGAAUUAAUAUGCGGACACAUACCUGAAUUUAUUCAUAAUCACUGAGUCUCCUUGUGAUAAUGAGAUGCAACCGUGAAGUUUGGUACGAUAUUCUCCAUAGACAACUAUCGACUCUGAACUCUUUCUUUAACAACAAGGAACUUGAUCUUUAUGUGUUUCAACUUCGUCGAUUUUCUGUUGUUAUUGGAAAUAUACAUGUUGAUUUACUGUCACAAUAACUUUAGUGUAUUUUUAUAUAAAAAAAAAAACUCCACAUCCACUAUGUCCAUCCCUGUAACAAAGCUUCGCAAUUGUCUCAAAACAUGUUAUCUUUGCAUCCAACAAAAUCAGAGUCAGUAUAUCCAAUGUUCUGAAGCUGAUCUAACCUCUGAUAUGCGAGAAUGUAGUCUUUUGUUCUCUUUAAAUAUUGCAUGACUUAUUUCGUUGCUUUCUGAUGCUCUAAUCAUGGAUUGCUCAAAUACAUGUCCAACAUCCCGUACAUUAUAUCUAGACACAUACAAACUUGUGCAUACAUUAGACUCCCAAUUGUCGAUGCAUAAGGAAUCUUCUACAUCUCAUUUUCUUCACUGACUGAGACUAAACUUGUCACCCUUAUCUGCGGGGGUAUCUCAUCGUUUACUGUCUUGCAUGUCUUAUCUCUUGAGAAAAUUUUCAAUAUAGUCUUUUUGUGACAAUCCAAUAAUACUCUGAGAACAAUCAUAAUGUAUGAUGCCCAAUACAAAAGAUGUGUUGCCAAGAUCUUUCGUCUCAAAAUUCUUAUCUAGAAAUCUUUUGAUUUCUUGCAAUAAAUCUACAUCAUUGCUGGCAAGCAAAAUAUCAUCAUCAUAUAAAACCAGGAAAAUAUACUUGCUCCCACAUAACUUAUGAUAUGUACAAUCAUCAACCAAAUUUACCUUAAAACCAAACGAGAUGAUCACUUGAUAAAAUUUGGAAUACCAUUGCCGAGAUGUUUGCUUGAGUUCAUAAAUGAAUUUCUUAAGUUUGCAAAUCAUAUCCUUUGAAUUUUCUAAAACAGUUUUUUGGCUGCACCAUAUAAAUUGUCUCAAUAAUGUCACCAUUUAGAAACACAAUCUUUACAUCCAUCAGAUACAACCGAAGAUCAAAAUGCUCCACCAAUGCCAUUGUAGUCCUAAAAGAGUCUAACAAAGAAACCGGAGAGAAAGUCUCUAUAUAUUCAAUGCCUUUUUUCUAUGUAAAUCCUUUUGCGACAACACUGAGCUUUGUACCUUAAAUAUUGAGUUUCACACCUUGUGGCAAUAGGAUAAGAUCUCAAACGUCAUUGUCCUUCAUGGCAUUGAUCCACCUUUUAGAAUUUGAAUUUUCCAUGACCGCAUCAUCAUCAAUUAACUUUGUUUUUUCGAAAAAUAAUUUCCAAUAGAGCUGGAUUUCGAUGCCGGGGAAAUGAUGCCAUUGUCCCCAUAUAUCUUAGUCUAAAAAUUAGAAUCAAAUCCAUCUGUUGGUACACAAGCAAAUGUAAAUAGGAGGAAAACUUCAUUUUCGUUCAGACAAAUAUAAAGGAUCAGUUGUUUAGAUACUCUACAAAAAAUUCAUAUUUACGUACGAUCAAAUAUUUGUUUUGAUACUUUGUAAAUGGAAAUUGAUCAUUUUUAAAAUGAAAUUAAAUCUCAAAAUCAUUCAUUUUCACUUGAAGUAUAAUAUAACCAUCUAGAAUUCAGUUUCUCUCACAUGAUUCAUCUGCUAGAGCCUCAGAAAUCAAAGAUAUAAUUUGGAAUAAUUAAAAUUGUUUCUUUGAAUAAAAGAUAAUUUGGCUAGGCAAGGUGUUUUAAAUUUUGGAUUCUCUUGCUUGUGUUGGAGGUUGUGGUUGUGAUGAAAACAUUUAUUUUUUAAUGUCCUAUUUUUAGAUGAAUUUGGAAGUUAAUCUUAAAGUGGUUGAGCAUCCCAUGCGCUUUAUCAAAUAUAACUAGUGACCAUGCUCCACAGUUGUGUGGCUUUUGUUUAUCAUCAAAGGUAUCAAUGGAAAGGCUUCAAGUAGUUUGGCUAGCGUGCAUUUGACAAAUUUGGAAGAAACACAAUAAUAGAUUUUUUCAAAAAGAAUCAUGGGUAGCGGAUAUUGUGGAUAGGGGAAACUACAUUUGUGGUGGUUGCAUAAAACAAUUUCAAGACAUUGGUUAUGGUCUAAAUCAUUCGUGGUCGAACCCAAUUGAGUGCUUUCAUGUGUAAUAGUUAUUUUUUUCUUUGUUGUAAUUGUCGUUUUUUGGUUUUGAAUUUGAUAUUUUACUCUUGUACUCUUUUUUCUUGGGAUUAUUCUCAAUUGAGGUUUUGGUGAUUUGUAUCUUAGGUUGUUGAUGUUAUUCUUUGCGCCUCUUGUGCUUGAAUAGUUUUAAAUAUAUUUUACCUUUUUUUUAGAAAAAUCAUAACCAACUAGAUUGAUAUGGAGGAAACAUAGGUUGGCCAUAUUGUUUUCUUCAUAUGCAAUAAGUCAACAUUAGAAACGAAUAAGGGCACCAAUAUUGGUUUUAAACAACUUGCUCCAUCUCAUUUAUACAAUAGCACUUCUACUUCUAUAAGUGCCAACAAAAGUGCUAGCUAUUGCAAAUUUGCUUGCAAUCCAAGUAAAUAUGGCAAUUGGUGUUCAUGAUUGGGGAGACAUGAAGAGUCUCACCGUCCAAGUCAUCACCGGACGGUGGUUUGUCAUUUUUGCCUCCUUUCUAAUCAUGUCGGCUGCCGGAGCCACCUACAUGUUCGGUCUAUACUCCAGCGACAUAAAAGAAACACUUGGCUAUGACCAAAGCACACUAGACCUCCUUAGUUUUUUCAAAGAUUUUGGUAGCAAUGUUGGUAUCCUUGCAGGACUAAUCAACGAAAUCUCUCCACCUUGGGUAGUUUUAGCAAUAGGUGCUAUACUUAAUUUCUUUGGUUACUUCAUGAUUUGGUUAUCCAUAACAAAAAAAAUUGCAAGACCACAUGUUUGGCAAAUGUGUCUUUACAUUUGCAUAGGUGCUAAUUCUCAGUCUUUUGCAAACACCGGUUCACUUGUUACUUGUGUUAAGAAUUUCCCCGAAUCUCGCGGAGCUGUUUUGGGAAUUCUAAAAGGAUAUCUUGGUCUUAGUGGUGCUAUCAUCACACAACUUUACUCUGCUAUUUAUUAUAAUGACUCAAAGGCUUUGAUUUUGCUUAUAGGUUGGCUUCCUGCCGCUAUUUCAUUCGCUUUUCUUAGAACCAUUCGGUAUAUAAAACCUGUUCGACAAGUCAAUGAGCUUAAGGUUUUUUAUAAUUUCUUGUACAUCUCACUUGCUCUUGCUGGUUUCUUGUUGGUUAUAAUUAUUAUAGAGAAGAGUAGUAGUUUCACACAGGGUGGGUUCGGUUUAAGUGCUGCUGUGGUGAUUUUCUUGCUUUUUCUCCCACUUGCUGUUGUUUUUAUUGAAGAGAACAAGAUUUGGCAGAGUAAAAAACUUGCUUUGGUUGAUCCUUCACCAGUGAAAAUAGUAACAGAAGGUGAAACAGUAACUGAAACAGAAAAGGUCAACUCUGCUGUUUCAGUUUCAGUCCCAAAAAAAGAUCCAAAAUGGUGGGAAGAUGUGUUCAAUCCACCAGCAAGAGGUGAGGAUUAUACGAUACUUCAAGCACUUUUCAGCAUAGACAUGUUGAUACUAUUUGUGGCAUGUAUUUGUGGUAUUGGUGGAUCAUUGACAGCAGUUGAUAAUCUUGGUCAGAUAGGAACAUCACUAAGAUAUCCAAAGAAAAGCAUAAGCACUUUUGUGUCUUUAGUAAGCAUUUGGAAUUAUCUAGGACGUGUUUUCUCAGGAUUUGUUUCUGAACAUUUUCUAACAAAGUACAGAUUUCCUCGUCCUCUUAUGCUUUCUUUGACUCUCUUUGUCUCUUGUGUGGGACACCUUUUGAUAGCAUUUGAUGUGCCACAGGGUCUCUAUGUAGCUUCAGUUAUUAUCGGAUUUUGUUUUGGUGCUCAAUGGCCGUUACUUUUUGCCAUUAUAUCAGAACUCUUUGGACUUAAAUAUUAUGCAACUUUGUAUAAUUUUGGAAGUAUAACAAGUCCAAUUGGCUUAUAUGUGCUUAAUGUGGCGAUCACUGGUCAUUUGUAUGACAAAGAAGCUGAGAAACAAUUGGAAGCACUUGGAAAGCAAAGAAUAGAAGGGCAGGAAUUGAAUUGUGUUGGCGUUGAUUGUUUCAAGUUAUCUUUCAUUAUUAUUGCAGCUGCAACUUUCUUUGGUGCUGUUGUUAACCUUAUUUUGGUCGCUAGGACAAGAAAGUUUUACAAAGGUGACAUAUACAAGAGGUACAGAGAAGAAGCUGAAAUGGUGGAGGUAAAGAACGUGGGAAAGACAGAAGAAGGUGACAAAGUUGGCAGCAGCAUCGGCAUGCGGUGACAACUUAGAAAUAGGGCAAAUGGUUAAGGAUCAUAUCAUAGAUCAUAGAUCCACAAUUAAGUGUAAAUAUUAAAUUUUCCCUUAAAAAAGUGUAAAUAUGAAAUUUAAUAUGUUGUCAUGCAUAUUUUCUAUAUCUAUCUAAAAAGGGAAGACACGAUUUUGAGAUGACUUUUUCGUUUUCAAUUGUAUCUUUCAUUUAAACUAUUUUGUUUACAAUUGUAUAAAUUAAUAAUUAAAAACUAUGAAAUCUCAUUAAAAUAGGAACAGCACCACUACAAUAGAAAUUUAAAUCAUUACUUAAAAACUUAGUUAUGAACUUAUGAAUGACUAACCACUCACACUUGAAAACCAAUAAUAUUCCCCUCAAGUGUAAGUUUCCACCACUUAUACUUGAUCCAAACACUAGGAUCUCAAUCCUGCUCCCACCAAGCUGAAUUUGGGUUCUAAUACCACUUGUUGGGGAAAUAAGGGGAGCGACGAAAGCAAAAAUAAGUCAAUAUUCCCGGAGCAUAAUAGAGGUUGACACGACAUCUCCAUCCAAAACCUUAAGACAUUAGGUAUAUGAGUCACAUAUCUUAUAUAUCCAACAUUUUACACAUUUAUAGCAAUGUGCGACUAACCACUCAUACUUAAAAUCCAACAUUUUACCAGAGUUCUCAACGUGAUAUUAGAAUCAUAUAAUAUCCACCAUGGAUUCUCUAAUGCAUACCUUUUAAGAUAUUAUCAUCCUCUUCAUUCUAUCUUUGUUGUUUGCUAGCUACCAUUUAUUCUAUUCUUUUUCAUUCAAUGAAUGUUUUCUCUAAUAUGAAAAUAUCAUCAGGAUCAUGGAUAUUGCUCUCUCACAUCAAGAAACUCCACAAUAAAUAAUAUUAUGGGUGUUCAACAAUAAGCCUUUCUAGUGAAAGGUUUGUUAUGAGUGAUAUUGCUAUUUCUUUGUUUCACAGGUUUCUUGCCAAAAGUUCAUGUUUUUAUUCUCUUGUUGAAAUUUUUCAUGCACCCAAAAAAUAUGGUGGUAAGCUCCUUUAAUUCUACAGUAUGGAAGUCAAACUUUUUAAUUCUCAGUAUGCUUUUAUCAUGUCGUUGAGUUCAUAUGAUUGCUCAUUAUGGACACACUGCUCUUUUCAUAUUACUACUUUUAAUUUUAUUCCUGCUUUUAUGCAACCUUUUGUAAAUGUGAUGUUGGAGGUAUUCCUCAUCAGCAGCAGUUGAGUUAAUAAAUUACUAAUUAAAUUUUUUAUUUAUCAAAUUUUGUUGGUUUCAAACACAACUUGUAUCCAUGACAAUCUUGUUGACUAAAAGAUAUAUGUAUAAGAGAUAGAACUCAUGAUUAAUUUAUCCUAUUGUUUGCUGACUCAUCAAAAUAAAAGAAAUUGAUAGCAAUUUUAAUUUCUGUCUCCAUCUCUCUCUAUUUAAUUGAACAUACCUCAUUUAUAACAGCAGUUCACAGCUGCAGAGCUACUGCUAAAACUAAAACUAAGUAGUAAGCACCAACAAUAUGGCGGUUGGUAAUUCCAUUGGUGUUCACGGUUUAGGAGACAUGAAGAGUCUCACUGUCCAAUUCAUCACCGGACGGUGGUUCGUCAUUUUUGCCUCCUUUCUUAUCAUGGCAGCAGCCGGAGCCACCUACAUGUUUGGUCUAUACUCCGGCGACAUAAAAACAACACUUGGCUAUGACCAAAGCACACUAAACCUCCUUAGUUUUUUCAAAGAUUUUGGUAGCAACGUUGGUGUCCUUGCAGGACUAGUCAACGAACUCUAUCCACCUUGGGUAGUUUUAACAAUAGGUGCUAUACUAAACUUUUUUGGUUACUUUAUGAUUUGGUUAUCAGUCACCAAAAAAAUAGCAAGACCAAAAGUUUGGCAAAUGUGUCUUUACAUUUGUAUAGGUGCUAAUUCUCAGUCUUUUGCAAACACUGGUUCACUUGUGACUUGUGUUAAGAAUUUCCCUGAAUCUCGCGGAGCGGUUUUGGGAAUUCUUAAAGGUUAUGUUGGUCUUAGUGGUGCAAUAAUCACACAGCUUUACUCUGCUAUUUACUAUGAUGACACAAAGGCUUUGAUUUUGUUUAUAGGUUGGCUUCCUGCUGCUAUUUCUUUUGCUUUUCUUCGAACCAUUCGUUAUAUGAAACCUGUUCGACAAGUUAAUGAGCUUAAGGUUUUUUAUAAUUUCUUGUAUGUUUCACUUGGCCUUGCUGGAUUCUUGUUGGUUAUGAUUAUAAUCCAGAAGAAGAGUAGUUUCACACAGGGUGAGUUUGGUUUAAGUGCUGCUGUCGUUGUUUUCUUGCUUUUUCUUCCACUUGUUGUUGUUUUCAUUGAAGAGAACAAGAUUUGGCAGAGUAAAAAACAUGCUUUGGUAGAUCCUUCACCAGUGAAAAUAGUAACAGAAGGUGAAACAGUAACUGAAACAGAAAAGGUCAACUCUGCUGUUUCAGUUUCAGCUCCAAAAAAAGAUCCAAAAUGGUGGGAAGAUGUGUUCAAUCCACCAGCAAGAGGUGAGGAUUAUACAAUACUUCAAGCACUUUUCAGCAUGGACAUGUUGAUACUAUUUGUGGCAUGUAUUUGUGGUGUUGGAGGAACUUUGACAGCAAUUGAUAAUCUUGGUCAGAUAGGAACAUCACUAAGAUAUCCAAAGAAAAGCAUAAGCACUUUUGUGUCUUUAGUAAGCAUUUGGAAUUAUCUAGGACGUGUUUUCUCAGGAUUUGUUUCUGAACAUUUUCUAACAAAGUACAGAUUUCCUCGUCCUCUUAUGCUUACUUUAACACUCUUUGUCUCAUGUGUUGGACACCUUCUGAUAGCAUUUGAUGUGCCAGAGGGUCUCUACGUAGCUUCAGUGAUUAUUGGAUUUUGUUUUGGUGCUCAAUGGCCAUUACUUUUUGCCAUUAUAUCAGAACUUUUUGGACUUAAAUAUUAUGCAACUUUGUAUAAUUUUGGAAGUGUAGCAAGUCCACUUGGAUUAUAUGUGCUUAAUGUGAAGAUCACUGGUCAUUUGUAUGACAAAGAGGCUAAGAAACAAUUGGAAG
rnacentral:lncRNA from 1 species